rnacentral:rRNA from 1 species
GACGAACGCUGGCGGCGUGCUUAACACAUGCAAGUCGAACGGAAAGGCCCUGCUUUUGUGGGGUGCUCGAGUGGCGAACGGGUGAGUAACACGUGAGUAACAUGCCCUUGACUUUGGGAUAACUUCAGGAAAAUGGGGCUAAUACCGGAUAGGAGCUCCUGCUGCAUGGUGGGGGUUGGAAAGAUUCGGCGGUUGGGGAUGGACUCGCGGCUUAUCAGCUUGUUGGUGGGGUAGUGGCUUACCAAGGCUGUGACGGGUAGCCGGCCUGGGCGGGUGACCGGCCACCUUGGGACUGCGAGACGGCCCAGACUCCAACGGGAGGCAGCAGUGGGGAAUAUUGCACAAUGGGCGGAAGCCAGAUGCAGCAACGCCGCGUGCGGGAUGACGGCCUUCGGGUUGUAAACCGCUGUCGCCUGUGACGAAGCGUGAGUGACGGUAAUGGGUAAAGAAGCACCGGCUAACUACGUG